GAACACAAAAUGGCGACACGUGGUUAGCAUUCGUCGCCAACGAGAAAUUGGGGUCGGCCCGAAAGCUCUAGAAUGCACCCCUCUUCCUCCCCGGGGCCUUCCACCUCCGCGAGUUUUAUGACUUAAAAAAGCCCACAGGCUGGUCUGAAGAGGAAGACAAACAUAAAGAUGAAGUGCUUAAUUCAAGGUCACACAAUGUCGGGGAUGGACCUCCAGAUUUCCUUACUGACCUGCAUUAUCUUGUGGAUACCUGAGUGAAUUCCACACCACCCAUUUUAUAGAUGAAACCACUGAGACAUGGAGCAAUUGACUGAGUAGUCACUGCCCCACCCCUGCCUGGAGCCUCACACAUGACUCGCCUCCUCUCAGUGACCACAGGUGAGACGUGGUCUUGUAACACAGUGGUUAAGAAUGUGACUUUGGAGCCAGCCUGCUAGGGGCUGAAUUCUGACUCAGCCAUUUACUAACUGUGUGACCUUAGGGAGGAGGACCUGGUUGAUAGAAGAAUUUAUCUCGUAGUCUUAACAUCCACUGUAAUUCCAAACUUUGAGGACGAUAGAGAUCAGUGGGCUUUGACUGCCCAGCAUGCAGUCU
rnacentral:lncRNA from 1 species